CCUCUCUGCAGGCAAAGAAGAGGAAAAGAGCAGAACGCUUUGGGAUCGUCUGAUGCCGGUCCUUUUUAGCUUCAGCCCAUUUGCAGUGUGCCUCUCGAAUGGGCAUUGUGGCUGGAAUCCUUCUCUUGUCUGAAGACUGAUGUCCUAGGAUUCUUAUUUCUGACCGUAACCUCUUACCGGAGAGAUGUUUGCCUUGUCCAUGCUUGGUUCCUUAAGACGCUAGAGAACAGCGGCCGUGUGUACAAAUCGAGCUUUUCAGAGGCUUAUACCUGAUUCUUAAUAAGCAAUAUAUAUAUAUUUUUUAACGUAGAAGUCUUCAAACCGCUUCUGUUCCAUUACUGUUUGCAGUCUGACUGCGUCCGUGUGCCCUCGGUGACUCUAAGCAAUACCUUGGACGUUUGUUUACUUUCCCAAAGGGCAGCUAAAAGCCACGGGGUCCGGGUUAGGUUGUGUGUCUUGGGUUGUCAGUGGCUGAGUGAAUCGAAGCUCCCUUGCUCCUUCCUGAUUUAAUGUAAUAACGUUAUUCUGAUUUUUUUUUUUUUGUAUGUCAGAUUUUGUAAGAUGUAUUUUCUAUUUGGCUCAUGAUCUUUUUGCUGGUUAUUUGCUUGAAAUGUUUUGUAGUGUGCCAGGGCAAACACUGCAUUUCAUUCUCGGUUUCAUAAUAAAACUGCUUCUCCAAGGCAA